rnacentral:rRNA from 1 species
GGAAUAACUCAGACAAAGAGGCGGCAACAUUAUAGGACACAACAAGUUGGUGGAGCUCCGUUAUUGGAAAAUGGCAGAGUUCGGUAAUUGCAAACCAAAACAUUUAUUUCCGUGAUAGUAUAGGAGAUAGAAAACUCACUUGGCGCUAUAGAGAAAGUACCGCAAGGGAACGAUGAAAGAUAACCAAAAGUACAAAACAGCAAAGCUUACCCCUUUUACCUUUUGCAUAAUGAUUUAACUAGAACAGACUAGCAAAGAGAUCUUAAGUUAGUUACCCCGAAACCAGACGAGCUACCUACAAACAGCUUCACAGAGCAAACCCGUCUAUGUGGCAAAAUAGUGGGAAGAUUUGUAGUUAGAGGUGAAAAGCCUACCGAGCCUGGUGAUAGCUGGUUGUCCAGGACAGAAUAUCAGUUCAAAUUUAAACCUUACCUGAAAAAAUCAACAAUUCCAAUGUAGGUUUAAACACUAGUCUAAAGGGGUACAGCCCUCUAGACACAGGAUACAACCUUUAUUAGAGAGUAAGCCAUAAUCAAUACCAUAGUUGGCCUAAAAGCAGCCACCAAUUAAGAAAGCGUUAAAGCUCAACAAGCCUACAACCUUAAUUCCUAAAACAAUAAGCUAACUCCUAAUCUACACAACUGGACUAUUCUAUUAUCAAAUAGAAGCAACACUGUUAAUAUGAGUAACAAGAAUUAAUUCUCCUAGCACAAGCCUAUAUCAGAACGGAUGCCCCACUGAUAGUUAACAACAAACACACACAGCCCAAAGCCAAGAUCAAACCAUAAACAAACUGUUAACCCAACACAGGAGUGCACUAAGGAAAGAUUAAAAGAAGUAAAAGGAACUCGGCAAACACAAACCCCGCCUGUUUACCAAAGGAACAUCACCUCUAGCAUCCUAAGUAUUAGAGGCACUGCCUGCCCAGUGACAUCUGUUCAACUCGGCCGCGGUAUCCUGACCGUGCAAAGGUAGCAUAAUCACUUGUUCCUUAAAUAGGGACUCUUGUAUGAAUGGCCACACGAGGGUUUUACUGUCUCUUACUUCCAAUCAGUGAAAUUGACCUUAUCCCGUGAAGAGGCGGGAAUAAUACAACAAGACGAGAAGACCCUAUGGAGCUUCAAUUAAUACUAAUCCAAUAAAGACAAAAUACCUCCCACCCAGGACUCAACUUCCCUUUACCAUGGAUUGUAGCAAUUUAGGUUGGGGUGACCUCGGAGUACAAAAAAACCUCCGAGUGAUUAAAAUCUAGCCACUAACCAGUCAAAACACAACAUCACUUAUUGAUCCAAAAUUUGAUCAACGGAACAAGUUGAACCCUAGGGAUAACAGCGCAAUCCUAUUUAAGAGUUCAUAUCGACAAUUAGGGUUUACGAUGCCUCGAUGUUGGAUCAGGACAUCCUAAUGGUGCAGCCGCUAUUAACGGUUCGUUUGUUCAAAACGAUUAAAGUCCUACGUGAUCUGAGUUCAGACCGGAGCAAUCCAGGUCGGUUUCUAUCUUUGUUCUAGGCUUCUCCCAGUACGAGAGGACUGAGAGAAGCGAGCCCCAAAACCUAUAGCACAUCUUCACACUAAAAAAUGAGUUAAUCCUAAUCUAGUAUCUACGAAUAACCUCGUCUCGAAC